UGUUAUGUGGCUUAGUUGGUUAAAGCGCCGGUCUAGCGAAUACGGAGUCGUGGGUUCGAAUCCCACCAGAACGC
rfam:Aedes albopictus isolate Foshan contig149408, whole genome shotgun sequence.